UAGAAUCAUUGGGGCUGACCUUA
rnacentral:piRNA from 1 species